rnacentral:tRNA from 1 species
UCCCUUGUAGCUCAGUUGGUAAAGAAUCUGCCUGCAGUGCAGAAGACCCAGGUUCGAUUCCUGGAUUGGGAA